rnacentral:lncRNA from 1 species
GGGGCGCCUCACCCUGCCUUCCCCAUGGACAGUCCAGCAAUGUCUGCUUCCACUCCCCCUGUGUUUCCAGACCCAGAGAGUGAAGCAAAGCCAGAAUCAACCACCACACUAGAUAAAUAGCCAUUACUGUGACGAUGGAAUGCUGUCAGCGAGCAGCAUGGAAGACGCAGAGAGAGUGGUGGUCAGGUGGUGGUGGAGACAGGGAGAGUAUGUGGCCUGGAGAUUAACAAACAGAACACCAAUAAUCUUGUGACCUCCAUGCAUCCUUCCUAAUGUCAAUAAAGUUGUCUUAUCAUGCCCAAAA